GACGAACGCUGGCGGCGUGCCUAAUACAUGCAAGUCGAGCGAGCGGCGGACGGGUGAGUAACAGGUAAGAACCUACCGAUAAGCGGGGGACAACAUCCGGAAACGGGUGCUAAUACCGCAUACUUACCGAUGGCCUUGCGGUGCAUUAGCUCGUUGGUAGGGUCACGGAUCAACUUGGCGACGAUCCCUAGCUGGUUUUAGAGGAUGAGCAGCCACACUGGGACUAAGACACGGUCCAGACGCCAACGGGAGGCAGCAGUGGGGAAUAUUACACAAUGGACGCAAGCCUGAUACAGCCAUGCCGCGUGUAUGAAGAAGGCCGUCGGGUUGUAAAGGACUUGCAGCGAGGAGGAGUUACUCGCAGAAGAAGCACCGGCUAACUCCGAGCCAGCAGACGCGGUAAUAC
rnacentral:rRNA from 1 species